UUUCCUCUUUUGUUUUAGGUUUCGUUAUGGCAAGAUCUAGAGCCAGAUAUGUGUAUGUGAUAAUGAAAAGUACUCUGAGCCAACAUCAAUUCCCUACUACAAGGCUAAAACUGUCUGAGCGGAUCGAAGUAACAAAAUUCGAUCCUCAUGCUCAGAAAUUUGCUCUGUAUAAAGAGAUUAAGAAACAUAGCAUCUUCAGAGGUUUUUGAUAAUAGAAUAUGCAUCUGUCACACAAAUCAUGCUUUUUAGAGAACCCAAACCAAUUUGUAAGGGAAAAUGUACUUGUAAAUAAAUUGUAAUGUCUUUC